rnacentral:rRNA from 1 species
AAACUUUCAACAAUGGAUCUCUUGGUUCUGGCAUCGAUGAAGAACGCAGCGAAAUGCGAUAAGUAGUGUGAAUUGCAGAAUUCAGUGAAUCAUCGAAUCUUUGAACGCACAUUGCGCCCCUCGGUAUUCCGUGGGGCAUGCCUGUUCGAGCGUCAUUUAAACCCUCAAGCCCAGCUUGGUGUUGGGUGCUUGUCCCGCCUCCCGCGCGGCGACUCACCUCAAAAUCAGUGGCAGCCCGCAUCCGCCGG